AUCAGUCAGUACAUGUAGGCAUGUGCACAAAUACUGUUCCACCAUGUUGCUGAAAUGCUGUCCUUGUAACGGGGAUCCAGCAGGGUGCCCACCCAGUAAUCAGCACAAGUUAGAAUGUGGGCAACUCGGCAGUCGUUGCGCAGGCACUUUGGUGACUCUAGUUAACCUCGGGCUGAUCGCAAGUCCCCAUGACGGCGACGAUGCAUUCGGAUGUCUGCCCUAUCAACUUUCGAUGUUACUUUCUACGCCCACUAUUGUGACCACGGGUAAUGGGGAAUCAGGGUUCAAUUCCG